rnacentral:lncRNA from 1 species
ACCAAAGCAGUGAAAUAUACCCUAAUUUACUGCAGUCUGUUCCCAGGCUAGGGGUCGAAUCGGAGCUGUAGCUGCCAGCCUACGCCAGAGCCACAGCAACGCGGGAUCCGAGCCGCAUCUGCAACCUACACCACAGCUCGCAGCAACGCCGGAUUGUUAACCCACUGAGCAAGGCCAGGGACCGAACCCGCAACCUCAUGGUUCCUAGUCGGAUUCGUUAACCACUGCGCCACGACUGGAACUCCUGCUGUCAUUUCUUGCUGGGUAUGUGCACUUGUCUCUUCCUGGUCCAGCCUCCUCAUAGAAGCCAGAGCCCUCCUGACACACAGGUUAGGUGAUGUGCAGUAUAAAUAUUUCACAAUAUUUAUUCUCAUGGAAUAAAACUCCUUCUUUAGCAAGGUGCCUGAGUUUUUUGUUUCUGGCCCCUGCUUACCUCUCCAUCCUCUUCUCUCCAGUGCGGUUUUUUGAUUUUUGACAUCCUGAACUUUCUGCCUGGAGUGUCCUUGUGUCACUUCUUUGCCUAAUUCCUUUUCAUCUUUUUUAGCAUAAGGAUAAGUCUUUAUGUAACUGUGUAAUUCUGGCAUGUAUAAGUUUAUGGAAUGUUUGGACAAACGUGGGAAUGAAUAAAUGAAUAAAUAAGUAUAAAGAAAAUGGAUUUCUAAAAAUUGUGGUAAAAUACAUGUAACACAAAAUUUACCAUCUUAACUAUUUUUUUGUGUAGAGUUCAGUGACAUUAAGUACAUUCACAUUUUUCUAUAACCAUCACCACCAUCCAUCUCCAGAAUGUUUUUUUCUUGUGGAAACUGAAACUUAGUACCCAUUAAAUGCUAACUCUUCAUUUCCCCCUCCCCCUAAACCCUGGCAGCUACCAUUCUACUUUGUUUCUACAAGUUUGACUACUCCAGAUUCUUCAUAUGAGUGGAAUUAUACAGUAUUUGCCCUUUUGUGACAGGCUUGUUUCACUUAGCAUAAUGUCCUCAAAUUUCACCCAUUCACAUUGUUGAGUAUGUCAGAAUUUCCUUGCUAUUUAAGGUCGAAUGAUAUUCCGUUGCACAUAUAGACCAUUAUUUUGUUUAUGCUUUCAUGUAUUGUUUGUACAAAGAUGUAAUUUGUAGCAUUGUUUGAAAUAGUGAAAGGUUGUAAGCCAUCUAAAAGUCAUGUGAGCAUUUCUGCUGGGCACAGUGGGUUAAGAAACCAUCAGUAGCAGCUUGGAUCACUGCAGAGGCACAAGUUCAAUGCCCGGCCUGGUGCAGUGAGUUAAAGGAUCUGGCGUUGCUGCAGCUGUGGUGGAGGUCACAGCUGUGGCUUGGAUUCAAUCUCUGGCCCAGGAACUUCCAUAGACUGCAGGUGUGGCCAUAAAAGUAAGUAAAUAAAAAUAAAUAAAUAUCCAUGUGUAGGGGAUUAGUGAUGUAAAAUAACCUUACAGUAGAAAACUGUGUAGCAGUGAUAAAGAAUGGGGCUUCCCAUCGUGGCUCAGUGGAAAGAAAUCUGACUCAUAUCCAUGAGGAUGCAGGUUCGAUUCCUGGCCUUGCCUUGCUUAGUGUGUUAAAGGAUCCAUUGUUGUGGUGAGCUGUGGUGUAGGUCGCAGACACGGCUUGGAUCUGGCGUUGCUGUGGCAUAGGCUGGCACCUGCACCUCCGUAGCCUGGGAACUUCCAUGUGCCUCGGGUGUGGCCCUAAAAAGGCCAAAAAAAAAAAAA